UACGGAGGGUGCGAGCGUUGUUCGGAAUCACUGGGCGUAAAGCGCGUGUAGGCGGCCUCCUCAGUCUGGUGUGAAAGCCCGGGGCUCACCCCCGGAAGUGCAUUGGAUACUGGGAGACUGGAGUACCGGAGAGGAGGGUGGAAUUCCUGGUGUAGCGGUGAAAUGCGUAGAUAUCAGGAGGAACACCGGUGGCGAAGGCGGCCCUCUGGACGGAUACUGACGCUGAGACGCGAAAGCGUGGGGAGCAAACAGG
rnacentral:rRNA from 1 species